GGGGGGGGGGGGGGGGGGGGUGCGCGCGGGCGGGGCGGGCGGUGAGGCGUUGACAGAGGCCUUGGGGGCGGGGAUAAAGGGGGUUAGCGGCGGCCGGGUGAGUAACACGUGAGUAAGCUGCCUUCGACAUUGGGGUCGCCUCGGGACACCGGGAUUCAUACCAACUAGAAUCAUAAUUACACAUUUCAUCACGAUCCAAACUCCGGUGGUAUAAGAUUGACUCGCGUCCCAUUAGCUAGUUGGUAGAGUAAAAUCCUACCAAGGCGACGAUGGGUAGCCGGCCUGAGAGGGUGAGCGGCCACAUUGGAACUGAGAAACUGUCCAAACUCCUACGGGAGGCAGCAGUGGGGAAUAUUGCACAAUGGAGGGAACGCUGAUGCAGCGACGCCGCGUGAACGAAGAAGGCUUUCGAGUCGUAAAGUUCUUUUAUAUGGGAAGAUAAUGACGGUACCAGAAGAAAAAGCCCCGGCUAACUAAGUG
rnacentral:rRNA from 1 species